AGCCCUGUGGCCGAGUGGGUAGGUAAAGGUUUGCAAAACCUUUUACGGCGGUUCGAAUCCGCCCGGGGCGU
rnacentral:tRNA from 1 species